GAUGAACGCUGGCGGCGUGCCUAAUACAUGCAAGUCGAGCGAAUGGAUUAAGAGCUUGCUCUUAUGAAGUUAGCGGCGGACGGGUGAGUAACACGUGAGUAACCUGCCCAUAAGACUGGGAUAACUCCGGGAAACCGGGGCUAAUACCGGAUAACAUCUUGAACCGCAUGGUUCGAAGUGUAAAGGUGGCUUAGGACGCCAUUUAUGGAUGGACCCGCGUCGCAUUAGCUAGUUGGUGAGGUAACGGCGCACCAAGGCAACGAUGCGUAGCCGACCUGAGAGGGUGAUCGGCCACACUGGGACUGAGACACGGCCCAGACUCCUACGGGAGGCAGCAGUAGGGAAUCUUCCGCAAUGGACGAAAGUCUGACGGAGCAACGCCGCGUGAGUGAUGAAGGCUUUCGGGUCGUAAAACUCUGUUGUUAGGGAAGAACAAGUGCUAGUUGAAUAAGCUGGCACCUUGACGGUACCUAACCAGAAAGCCACGGCUAACUACGUGCCAGCCGCCGCAGUAA
rnacentral:rRNA from 1 species